UACGUAGGGUGCAAGCGUUAAUGGGAAUUACUGGGCGUAAAGCGUGCGCAGGCGGUGAUGUAAGACAGUUGUGAAAUCCCCGGGCUCAACCUGGGAACUGCAUCUGUGACUGCAUCGCUGGAGUGCGGCAGAGGGGGAUGGAAUUCCGCGUGUAGCAGUGAAAUGCGUAGAUAUGCGGAGGAACACCGAUGGCGAAGGCAAUCCCCUGGGCCUGCACUGACGCUCAUGCACGAAAGCGUGGGGAGCAAACAGG
rnacentral:rRNA from 1 species